rnacentral:rRNA from 1 species
GACGAACGCUGGCGGCGUGCUUAACACAUGCAAGUCGAACGGAAAGGCCCUGCUUUUGUGGGGUGCUCGAGUGGCGAACGGGUGAGUAACACGUGAGUAACCUGCCCUUGACUUUGGGAUAACUUCAGGAAACUGGGGCUAAUACCGGAUAGGAGCUCCUGCUGCAUGGUGGGGGUUGGAAAGUUUCGGCGGUUGGGGAUGGACUCGGGGGUUAUCAGCUUGUUGGUGGGGUAGUGGCUUACCAAGGCUUUGACGGGUAGCCGGCCUGAGAGGGUGACCGGGAGCAUGGGGCCUAAGAGAUGGCCGAGAGGCGUACGGGCGGACCGAGUGCGGAGGAGUGACCAAUGGGGGGAGGCCUGAGACAGCUACGCCGCGUGCGGAAGGACGGCUUACGGGUUGUGAACGGCUUGCACCUGUUACGAAGCGUGAAGGACGGUAAUUAAUAAAGAAGAACCGGCUAACUUCGUG